ACGGGAGGCAGCAGUGGGGAAUAUUGGUCAAUGGGGGAAACCCUGAACCAGCAACGCCGCGUGAAGGAUGAAGGUUUUCGGAUUGUAAACUUCUUUGACGAGGAACGAUAAUGACGGUACCUCGAAAACAAGCCACGGCUAACUACGUGCCAGCAGCCGCGGUAAUACGUAGGUGGCGAGCGUUGUCCGGAUUUACUGGGUGUAAAGGGCGUGUAGGCGGAUCGACAAGUCAGAUGUGAAAACCCGCGGCUUAACUGCGGGACUGCAUUUGAAACUGUAGGUCUUGAGUACUGGAGAGGAAAGCGGAAUUCCCGGUGUAGCGGUGGAAUGCGUAGAUAUCGGGAGGAACACCAGUGGCGAAGGCGGCUUUCUGGACAGCAACUGACGCUGAGGCGCGAAAGCGUGGGGAGCAAACAGGAUUAGAUACCCUGGUA
rnacentral:rRNA from 2 species